rnacentral:lncRNA from 1 species
GGGGAUCAUGAGAGAGGGGGUUGUGGUGGUGCAUUUAAGGUAUAAAGUAUCAAGAAAAGUCUGAGAAAACAUUGGAAGAUUGUUGUGGAGACAUAUGAUCGAUACUUGAAGGAACAUGUGUCAAAACAAGAGCUAGAAAACCACACAAACUAAUUAGUUUAGCAUCUUGCUUGUGUCCAUAGGUCUAGAAAGAAGAAUAGAAAGGAAAUGAGAGGAGAAGAUGAUGGAGGAGUAGAUUUAACUCUGGACACGAGAAAAGAAGAGAAGAGAAAGGGCAUUUCUCUUCUCUCCAAAUAUCUGCACUUUUGGAGAGGUUGAAAAAGGGAGUUCAGAAAGACUCAGUUUCUCUCUAUUUCUCCUCUUCUUUCCUCACUUGACUAUUCAAACAAGGGAUGUUAGCUCUCUUUCUCUCCUCCCCCACCCCUCUCUUCAUUACAAAUGAGGGAUCCCCCUUUCUCUUCUCUCCAAAUAUCUGCACUUUUGGAGAGGUUGAAAAAGGGAGUUCAGAAAGAAUCAGUUUCUCUGUAUUUCUCCUCUUCUUUCCUCACUUGACUAUUCAAACAAGGGAUGUUAACUUUCUUUCUUUCCUCCCCCACCCCUUUCUCCAUUACAAAUGAGGGAUCCUGACAUUUUUUCUUUCUUUGUCUUUUCUUCCCUCCGAAUCUCUCAGUCCAAAUACCAGAGGUGUAAAUUAGGAUACACAUAUGCAUGUGUACUCACGGACGUGCAUACCUGUAUUCAUACAUAAAGAUAUGUACGUGUCUAUAUGUGUUCAUGUUGAAGUGUUUAUAUAAGCAAAAUCUUAAAAUGUGAUUAAGGGGGGAAGAAAAACAAAGAGGACAUAAUUCUUUGUUCCUUGGAAAGCCAUAUCAUCUUUGUUAUUAGUAUUUUUGUUAUUUUAGUAAAAUAAGUCAUACCAUCAUGACAAGUCAGUGAGGUCUUAUUUCUUGGAAGGAAAUUUCCC